rnacentral:rRNA from 1 species
AAUCAACGCUGGCGGCGUGCCUAACACAUGCAAGUCGGACGAGAAAGUGGGGGCAACCCUGCGAGUACAGUGGCAGACGGGUGAGUAACACGUGAACAACCUACCCUUGAGUGGGGAAUAACACCGCGAAAGCGGUGCUAAUACCGCAUAAAAUCUUCGGGUCGCAUGACGUGGAGAUCAAAAGCGCAAGUUGCUUGAGGAGGGGUUCGCGGCUGAUUAGCUAGUUGGUGAGGUAACGGCCCACCAAGGCAACGAUCAGUAGCCGGCCUGAGAGGGCGAACGGCCACGCUGGAACUGGGACACGGUCCAGACUCCUACGGGAGGCAGCAGUGGGGAAUUUUGCGCAAUGGGCGAAAGCCUGACGCAGCAACGCCGCGUGGAGGAUGAAGGCCUUCGGGUCGUAAACUCCUGUCGAUGGGGACGAAGUUCUCGCAAGAGGAUUGACUGUACCCGUUGAGGAAGCCACGGCUAACUCCGUGCCAGC